GUUGUAGGUCAUUAACAGGAAACCA
rnacentral:piRNA from 1 species